rnacentral:lncRNA from 1 species
UCUUUCUGGUUGCUCUUUCUUCACCAACUUUGGAGCCUGUCAUUCUCUGCCCAACCUUGAAUGCUAGGAUUCCUAGGGCAUGUUUCCUAAACUUUGUCCUCAUUACUACACCUCCUCUGAGUGAUCUCAUUUCUAGUGGUGGUUUCAGUUACCCGCUGUGUGUAGGUGGCUUCCAAACCCAUAUUUCUAGCUCAGACCUCCCCUGUGAGCUCCAGAACUUCAUAGGUUUCCACCUGAAUGUCCAAUAGACAUCUCACUUCAACACUUCAGAAAGCACUUGUGCCAUUUUUUCCCCCACCCCAGACAUUGACUGGGACAAUCAUUACUCAGCUGCCCAAGCUCCCAACUCAUGCUCAUCCUUGACACUCCCUCAUCCUGACUUUACCACAUUUAACUUAUCCUUGGCUAAUCACCAAGUUCUGGUGCUCUACAAAUUUGGGCCACCCUGGUUUAUCCUUUGCAUUACUCAGCAACUUCCCAACAGAUUCCAUACACUCCAGUCUCUUCUCCCAGUUCUACUCCAUCCAUUCUACACAAAGCAGCCAGAAAAACCUUUUAAAUCACAUAUCUGACCACAUCACACCCUUGCUUAGAGAUCCGUCUUCAAGGAGAAUAUCCAAAUGCUCACCAUGACACCCAAGUCCCUCAGGAUCUAGUCCCACUAGUCUCUUCAAUCUCAAUGUUCUUCCUGCUCACAUGAUAAACUCCCUGUCACUGAGCAUUUGCUGCUCCUGAAGAGUUGUCAUGGGCCUCUGGACAUGCCAUCUCCCAGGUUGGAGUUUUAUUCCGUCACCUCUGCACCUGCCCAAUUGUCAUUAAACCAUCGGGACUGUGUAUAUACUACAUUUUGUUUUUCCAUUAAUCUGAUGAGGAAUAUCUGGGUUCUUUCCGCCCUUUGGUGACUGUGGAUAAUGUUACUAUUUUGCAAAUUUUUUUUUUCUCAUUCAAUCGGUUGCCUUUUCACUGUGUUGGUAGUGUACUUGAUGCACAACAGUUUUUAAUUUUGAUGAUGCCCAAUCUAUUUUGGUGGUGUUGCCUAUGCUUUUGGUAUUAUAUCCAAUAAAUCAUUGACAAGCUCAAUGUCAUGAAGUUUUUCUCCUAUGUUUUAAGAGUUUUAUAGGUUUAGGUCUUACAUUUAGGUAUUUGAUCCUUUUUGAGUUAAUUUUCAUAUAUGAUGUUAGUUAAAAAAUAAAGCAGCUGGAUGACUACUCUCUAAGUAGUGCCUUCCAGCUCUGCUGUUCCCUGGUUCUAAUUGGAGAGGAAUAGAAGCAGCAGCUCUGGGAUACCCAAUUUUCCACAGACCUUCUCCUCUUUCUAGAUGACUUUUCUCUCAAGAUCACUUCCCCCGGAGCAGGCUCAUUGUACUGCAAGGAGGCUGCCUCAUAACUUCAGGCACAGAGAGGAGCCCCUGCUGGGGAUGCCGGAGAUGCAAGCACUGCUGAAAUUGGGGGCUGGGGGAGUCCUUUAUUCUUAUAACUCCUUGAUACCUCCCAACAGGCCAGCUCACCUCCCUUUAAGGGCAGAGCUGACAUCAUUCCCUGGGGACAGACAUUGCCCUGGGAACCCUAAGCCGUGUCCCUCUGUUCAGUGCAGGGGCCAGGAACCCCAGAUCAGCACUCCUCCAGCCCUGCCCCCUGGUGUGUGGCCUCCAGGACAUCUAUGCCUAUAACUGCCUCCCAGGAGCACCUCCUCUAGGAGAACCAGCAGCCCUGGGAGCACUUCACCAGAAAGCCCUUGGCUGGGAGACAGGCAGUGACUUUGUCCUUCUAAAUCACAGAGGGACGUACAGCCAGGUACCCUCUUGCACAGAGUACUGCUGCAUAAAUACUUGUGGAAGGAAGGGAGGGAGGGAGGGAGGGAGGGAGGGAGGAAGGGGGGUAGGCAGGGAGGGAGGGAGGGAGGGAGGAAGGGAGGGAGUGGUAACUGCACAGAGUACUGCGUAUAAAUACUUGUGGAAGGAAGGAACAAAGGAAGGAAGGAAGGAAGGAAAUCGUCAGAAGAGAGUUCAUAUUUUGUCAUGCUCUCUGGACCUUUCUCCCUGAGGUUGGGCUUCU